rnacentral:ncRNA from 1 species
CUCAGCGGUGCGGUGUGACCUUGACCGGUGGGCUAACUGGCUGGAAGUGGGCAGAGUGGAUCGUGGACAGGUCCAGAUAUGCCUGUUUCUUGGUUUGCGCUGGUUGUUGCCGUUGCUAUUGUCGCGGUUUCGGCCACGAUGGUGGUUGCGGUGGCGGCGGUUGUGUAGCCUCGGGGCACUUGUCUGACGUCAAACGGCCAACUCAGAACUGGCACGGACUUGGGGAAUCCGACUUUCUAAUUAAAACAAAGCAUUGUGAUGUCUGCUGAUCGGUUUUGAUGCAAUGUGAUUUCUGCCCAGUGCUCUGAAUUUCAAAGUGAAGAAAUUCAACCAAGCGCGUGUAAACGGCGGGAGUAAUUAUGACUCUCGUCAGAGAUUGCUGUGUGUUGCCCCUCUGUCCCAGUACUGACUGUUGUAUUCAGCCUGCAAGUGACUGCAGGAGUCAGCGAGCAAUG